GUUAUCACUACUGAUCAGAGACCAUUUACCAUGAACUUGGGGCUCAGUUGGCUUUUCCUUGUCACUGUAUUAAAAGGUGUGCAGUGUGAGGUUCUGCUUGUGGAGUCAGGAGGAGGUUUGGUGCAACCUGGAAAGUCACUGAAACUCUCCUGUUUGGCCUCGGGAUUCACCUUCAGUAACCACUGGAUGAGCUGGGUCCGCCAGGCUCCAGGGAAGUCCCUGGAGUGGGUUGCAUCUAUUUAUAAUAGUAAUAACAUCUACUACAACGACGCUGUGAAGGACCGAUUCACCACCUCCAGAGACAAUGCCAAGAACACCCUUUACCUGGAAAUGGGCAGUUUGAAGUCAGAGGACACAGCCACAUAUUACUGUGCAAGAGACACAGUGAGUAAAAGCUACUGUGAACUCAGCCACAAACCUCCAUGCAAAGUGCUCAGGACCAGCAGGUGGCGCAGACAGCACACAGAGCUCUGGGCCACAGAGGAUCCUGAUCAGAGAGGCAUAAAGGGAUGGACUCCUCUGGGUCUGGGCUGCAUCUCCAUAUCACAUUCUAAGAUUCUCUCUACAAAAAACGGUGCUCAGAAUACACUCUGUGGAUAA